UGCCGGGGUGGCGGAACUGGCAGACGCACAGGACUUAAAAUCCUGCGGUGAGUGAUCACCGUACCGGUUCGAUUCCGGUCCUCGGCACCAU
rnacentral:tRNA from 3 species